AUUGAACGCUGGCGGCAGGCCUAACACAUGCAAGUCGAGCGAGCGGCGGACGGGUGAGUAAUGUCUGGGAAACUGCCUGAUGGAGGGGGAUAACUACUGGAAACGGUAGCUAAUACCGCAUACCAUCGGAUGUGCCCAGAUGGGAUUAGGUAGUAGGUGGGGUAACGGCUCACCUAGGCGACGAUCCCUAGCUGGUCUGAGAGGAUGACCAGCCAGACUGGAACGGAGACACGGUACAGACUCCUACGGGAGGCAGCAGUGGGGAAUAUUGCACAAUGGGCGCAAGCCGGAGGCAGCCAUGCCGCGUGUAUGAAGAAGGCCUUCGGGUUGUAAAGUACGUUCAGCGGGGAGGCGUUACCCGCAGAAGAAGCACCGGCUAACUCCGUGCCAGCAGCCGCGGUAAUUC
rnacentral:rRNA from 1 species